UAGCAGGCUUCAGCAGGGUUUGAGCAACCACUGGAUCAGGUGAUCCGAAGCAGGGAAACCACUAAAACAUCCCGGAUGGGAGCUCUCGUGGACCAGAGUUGCCUACUCCUGCUUAAGAAGAACUAAUUAAACCUGAAGGAAACCGCCCAAUUCACAACGCAGACGACUUCAUUAGGUCAUGAGUGUUUCCCUGCACCAGCACUUUACAGUUCUACUCAUCUCACGUCUCUCGGGGCCGUUGUGCACUUUGACCCAGAGGACAUCCUGUUCCUCUUCAGCAGCUGUAGCCCGAGCAGUUGGAAAACUUCUCCCAAGCUUGGCAGUUCUACUGAGAUAAAAGAAGACAGAGGGGUUUUACAGAGCCCGACUCAAACGAUGAUGGAAGAGGUAAAGGACGUGUCUGCAGGGAGCGUCCAUGGGGACACCAUCAAAGUUACGGAGGUCCUGCAAGACGGGGACACUCUUACCUUCAUAAUCGUGUCUCAAAAGCUCUCUGGGACAGGGGAGUACCACGUGGACCGCACCUAUGAUGACUUUGAGUGGCUCCAGCAGCACCUGUACACUCAGGAGGAUGUGCCCGGGAUUCAGGGAGUCAUCUUUCCUCCUCUUCCAGUAAGGCCUCAGGUGAACGCAUCUGCCAAAGUUAUGAAACAGCUGGGCUUCCUGGCUUUAGGAGAGUGGCAGCCCUACUGCAGGGCGCUGGAAACAUUUCUGCAGCAGGUUGUUGCACACCGCCUACUCAGCAAAAAUCAGGCCUUGGAGCUCUUCCUGACCAGUGCAGAUCCUCCAGGGAGACAGAAGAUAAAGAAAAACCUUUUUAAUCGACUGAGUCAAGCCAUGGAGGAGAUGAGGAAGGAAGGCCACAAGGAUGUGGACGAGUUCUUUCAAACUGUACGGGAUCAGAACCUUCAGCUGACCGGCUCCUCCAGGACAGCAGCUGAGAAAUUCCUAGAUGUGGUGCUAACGGAGCAAAAAAUCGCCGUGGCCUGUGGACACUUCUCAGCUGCUCUGCAUCUCUGUGUGGAGCCUGGACAGGAUCCUGAUCAUAAAGCUUUCUCCAGGGUUUGUGUGAAACUAUCAGAAGUGUUUGAUUCUAUGAGAAAAAGUAUGAUGAGUUUCUCUCUGAACGACUUGAACACUCUGGGCCUCGGCCUGGACCUGGAGUCUCGUCACCUGGAAGCAGAAAAGGAGAUGCUGUUCAGGAGAACCUGUAAGCUGGUGGAGUUGGAGAGCGCCAGGAGGAAUGCGGAUAGAGCCAAACCUGUGAGGAAAGCUGCUAUGGAAGAGGUGAAGAAGGCAUCAGAAACAGAGUUUGAGCAGAUUUGUGAAGUGGCAAAACAAGAGCCGCUUUCAGCGCGUCCGUGUGGAAACGCUGCAGAAGAGUCUGAUUCAGUGGUGUGAAAAGCAACUUCUUACAGCCAGAGAAAGCGCUGAUGUGUUCAGCAACCACCUUGAAGCCUUCAAAGCCAUGACCUAAUGACCUCAGUGGAGCCAGCUGAAGGAGGAGAAUGAGUCAGCUGAAGAUAAACAACUGAUCGUCCAACACGAGAGAGAUUAAACUUGUACGAAGGUCUAACUGGAGGACAGCAACACCACAGAGAAAGAACAUUAUGUUUUUCCUUCACAUGCUGGAAAAAUGACAAUUGAAACAACAAAUCCUAAUAAUAUUGACCUUCAGCCUAAUUUUUUUCAUCAUUUAUUAAUUUUAAACACUUAAAGGUGUGGUUCACUUGUUUAAUCAAUACCCAUGCAGUAGUCUCUAGUAGGAGUGAAUGGAUGUCAUUUUCUGGGGAGUAAAAGUUCUGGGGCCUCAUUUAUCAAGCUUGCUUACGCACAAAACGGGGUCGGAAAACUGCGUAAGCAACUUUCCACACAAACUUUGGGAUUUAUGAAAGAAAACUUAGCGGAAAAAUGUGCGCAACAUUAAGUUGACUAAGGAUCUGGCUUACGCACAUGCUGGACAUGGAGAGCACCUGCAGUGCUGCUGCUGAGGAGGAUAAAAUGAUGAAAUCCUGCAGCAUUAUCACUUGUACUGCUUCGUUUUCACACACAGAACAAGACCCCCCCCCCACACACACACACACACACACAUGCGCUCACACACACACGCGUGUGCACACACACACACACACACACACGCGCGCACACUCACACACACACACACACACGCACGCACGCACGCACGCGCGCGCACACACACACACACACACACACACACACACGCGCACACUCACACACGCGCGCGCGCACACACACAAACACACACACACACACACACACACACGCGCACACUCACUCACGCGCGCGCGCACACACACAAACACACAGCCUGAAGCGCCGAAUAUGGAAUGCAGAAUAUCAGCAGGGGGACAGAUUGAGAGAGAAUGUCAUGUGUCUGUGACAGCGUGUGUGUCCUGUCACUGUGACCCGAUUGAUCAUGCGCCCUGGCUACUUGGACAGGGGAGAUCUCUGUUUGGCUGAUUGAUUAGCGCGUUACUUUCACCUGGGAGUCUGGUGAUCAAAUCCCGAUUGGACCAUUUUUUUAUAUCCACCACAGAUCUCUCUGAAGAAUUCACAACAUUGACGGCUUCAGCAACGGUGUGCCACUCCGUGGAUUUUCUCCUAUUUCUUUUGCAAAAGUACUUCCUUUCAUUUCUCCUCCUCACCCACAGGUACCUCAAUUUCUGCUUCUGUGAAAUUGCGCUUCCUUGAUCUACCUUGAUCUACGGUCGCCAUGUCAUCAGCGGAGCGCUGCAACAGCCGGCUUAUGUAUAUGCAUGAGAUCCACAAGGCACUUUGCAUUGACUGUUUAAGGCGGUAAGUGGGUGUGGUGAGGGCGGGAUGUGACUAAAAUGCAGCUGAGAAACAUUCUAGAUAGUCUCCAAUUCAUGAAACGGAGAUUGCGUGCAGCUGUGCGUACUCCAUGUUUGAUAGAUCACAAACCUACUUGGCGUAAGUACUUUUUUUUUUUUGCUGAGCUUCAGUACGGUUUUAGUUUGGAUUCUACACAAUGUUUGAUAAAUGAGACCUCUGAUGCGCCUGUUUUAGGAACUAGAAGCGAGUCACAUCAGAGCUGAGCGUUAGACAGAAGGACCUUUGUACUUAUAACUUUAUAUGACAGCUUUAUAAUCAGCUGUCAUAACUCACAGUGACUGAUUAUAAUCAGAGAUAACUAAAUGCUUUUCAGUGAACCACACCUUUAAUAGGAAGAAAACACUUGUUUUGCUCAUGCACAUGAAAAAUAUUUUAUUGCUUUUUAUAAUUUCUAUUAAAGAAGCAAAUAUAAAAAUGGCCUUUUAUGAAUUGUUACGCAACAUGUAAAGUUUUAAUCUGCAUAAACACAAGAAGCAGCAUCUCUGACUGGAAAGUCAGCUGAUCUUAUUUUACAUUUUUGAUCUCAAGCUUGAAAAAAAUCCACAAGUGUAAUUAUUAUCUUCCAGUUUUGUUCCUGGAGGAAGAAGCAAAUAAUGAACCUGAUAAACGAACAAAAGAAAUAAAUCAUGUUCUUCUUUGA